ACGAUCAUCGCAAUCGGUGUAGGCACGCCAGGAUUAUGUCUUAAAUAUAAUAUUACUUGUUUAAUAUGCGGUUGUUGGGUUUUUCUAUUUGAUAUGGGUAUUAUUAUUAGGAGGUAUUAUUAUCUGUAUGUCUUUUCCAUAUUGGCUGGCGACCAUGACUAUGGGCUCCCGGCCCUUUGGGAGGCGUCCGUGGGGCCAACAGCGUAGAAGUCCUUUAAGACAAUUUAAUCUAAAAGCAACAUAUGAUACUAGUAUUUAAGGCAAACUGGACUAGUGGCAAUUUUAGGGAGCGUAGUUUUGCCAACCCUUAUUUUCAUUGAACUGACAAAUUGAAUAGAUACAUAACGGGAUUUGAAAAUUGUUUUUAAUAAAUAUAGCAAAAUAGAUAUUCAUAAAACUUUUCAUUUUAUAUUUAUGUUUAAAUCUUGAAUCCAUUAGUUAGCUGGCGCUAAAGGAUAAACAACCAGUUUUUCUAAGGUACCCGAAAUAGACAUUGAACAAGGUGGUCUUAAAUUUAAAAACAUGUUAGAGCUCACUGGUAACAUCACAUCACAGUACAGGUAAUAGGAACUACACUAGUUUCAUUAAAGAGUUUUGCAAUCAUCGAAGUCGGUCAAAAACAAUAUGCGCCUAUUGGAAUUCCAAAAUCAAAUAAUGAAAUGCAGCACUGCAAAUAACCGAUGGUUUUUUUUAUUUGGUGCUGUAAAAACUAUGUAAGUCAUUCUUGAUGCAUUUUUUUUUCAAAAUUGCCACAUUUUCUGAUUUUUUUACUGACAUGAUUGGAUGAUCAGAUUAAUUUGAAAGUAGAGACUUUUUGCCUAAAUGUGUAUAGAUCGUGUCAUUCACGAGGACUCGUUGCCUUGACUCAUAAUUUCAUGUCAUUAAAGGAUAGAUUUGACAAAUCUGCGUGUCAUCGUGGAUGACAUGAACUAUAAAGAUAGUAAUUUGGUUAUUUUUUUAAAUUUUUGUUUACUGGUCACGCCUAUUGCUAAGUUGGAUUUCAGUGGUUUUCUUCAUAAGUUCAACAUUUUGCAUAUUAAGGAGUGAAAUUCUGCUCUGUCUAUCAAUUAAAAACCCACCACAACCAUGCUUGGAAAACUGCUGAAAUAUUUCCCGAAAAUGUAGUACCUACACCGUAGCUAUAUGUAAGGGCUCGUCUUGCCCUUGUACAUUGACAUUUAGUGCCGCCCGAGCGAUGCUUUACGAUUGGCGUGCGCCCCUACGGAACCGUCCGACGAUACCUGGGGCCAAAGAAUAAAGUUAUUCGAUUAUGAACAGAAGGUACAAAUUAUAUACAAUUAUAAAAUUUUAAUUA